GACGAACGCUGGCGGCGUGCUUAACACAUGCAAGUCGAACGGAAAGGCCCCUUUGGGGGUACUCGAGUGGCGAACGGGUGAGUAACACGUGAGUAACCUGCCCUUGACUUCGGGAUAACUUCAGGAAACUGGGGCUAAUACCGGAUAGGAAUCCUUGCUGCAUGGUGGGGGUUGGAAAGCUUCGGCGGUUUUGGAUGGAUUCGCGGCUUAUCAGCUUGUUGGUGGGGUAGUGGCUUACCAAGGCUUUGACGGGUAGCCGGCCUGAGAGGGCGACCGGCCACAUUGGGACUGAGAUACGGCCCAGACUCCUACGGGAGGCAGCAGUGGGGAAUAUUGCACAAUGGGCGGAAGCCUGAUGCAGCAACGCCGCGUGCGGGAUCACGGCCUUCGGGUUGUAAACCGCGUUCAGCAGGGGCGAAGCUUGUGGUGACGGUACCUGCAGAAGAAGCACCGGCUAACUACGUG
rnacentral:rRNA from 1 species